CCUAGCUAUCCAAUUUCUCCAAAUCUGUCGCCGCUCGCUCCAAAGCGCCAGCGCCCGCGCCUUCAUAUCCUCUUGGCACUGCGGCCGCGCGCGGGAGCAAACUUUCGUGGCCGCCCCGCAGCCAAAACCUGCAGCCGCCCCAUCCAAAGCCCUUCCUCUCCUCAGAAUUUCUGUCGUCUCUUAGAAAUUUGUGCGCGCCCCAGCCUUGCUGUGCGCCGGCUUUGCCUCCACCAGCCGCCAGUCCUGCCUCCCCCGGUCCGCUGCCGGACCUGCCUCCGCCGGCCACGCCUAUCUCGGCCGGCCGCCGGGCCCUACCCAUCGAUUCGCCGGCCGCCGACCACCGGCCCUACCUCCACCGGGACGCCUACCUUCGCCGACCACUGGGCCCUGCCUCUGUACGCUGGCUGCCCCCAAAUCUGACACUUCAUUAUUGCCUCAGCUGCUGAUCUUUAGAUCUGCAGUACAACAGAAAUUUGUAUUGCAUCUUAAGGGAACGGGCUGGUGCUCAUCUUGCAAGCAUAGCAGCUGGUGAGAACUUGGUGAAGGCCUUGGUGACGGUAUGGUUCUGUAGUUGCUAUCCUUCCUCUCAUAUUGCUGUAUUCUAAUAUUCUGAUUUGUUGCGUGUACACUAUCUGUUUUUUUGUAUUUUUUAGUAUAUAAAGAUCUUUUGAUGGUACAUAUCAAAAGAUUGGUUCUUUUGAUGCUAUGAAUCUAAUUUUCCCAACAAUAUUUAUCUUUAGCAGGAAGAAACCAGGAGGCUAAAGAACUUAUCUUUUCUAAGUAACAAAAUAUUCAUCUUGUUCUUUUUCAAAUGAUUUCUCUUGUUUCUUUCAUAAGUUAUUAAAGGGUACCGGUGCAUACUCCUUAAAAUGCUUGCUUUUGUUGUUACUUUCAACAUUAUAUUUUUGUUUUCCCUUUGUUGCCAUUAUAUUUUCCAUAUUCAUAAUAUGAACUAAAAAAAAUACAUUUAGUUAAAUAAACAUCCCUUUGGCUUUUGCUCCACCAAUAUUUCAAACAGAGAGGAGCCAAUAAACAAUAAUCAUGUACUUAUGUUUUAUCACAUUAUAAUUUAGUAGUAUAUGGAUGGGGUUGGAUAUAUGUAUGACCACUAUAUUAAUACAUGAGACCUUUUACAAUGCUUGGAAAUACUUGCGGCUGAUCCAACUUGGAUAACUUGUUCUGUUUGGUUUCCUAGUGUUGUAAUAGGCCGAGGCAUUUUUAAGAAAUCUUGUAGGAUGAUGCAACUAUUUGGUCGUUGCAUACUAAUGUCCGUCUUUUUAUUGGUGCGGGAGGGAAUGCCGGGUCCUGAGUACAAUGAAAUUGUUAGGAAGGUGUUUGAUGAUGAAGAACAAGGAUACGAGUUUUAUAACAACUACGCUAAGGAGAAAGGAUUCAGUGUCAGGAAAGACUAUUGUGAGUGGGACAUUGGCCACAAUGAGAGGACUCUUCGACAUUUUGUUUGCAGUUGUCAAGGUUUCCGCAAAGAAAAGGAGCCGUCCCCUUCUCCUUGUUGAUGAGGCUGUUACUGAAUCUUGCUGCCAUUCUUUGUACAUUUUAGACCAAGAUCACCGCUUCUUUCGUUCAGAUGUUCUAAUACUGUAGGCUGCGUUCCCAGGGAGCAGUGGUUCUAGGUUCUUAAUUCUUACUCCUCUGUGUUUGGUUCGCUUUAGGAAUUAUCAUUGGAAUUCUUUGACAUGAUGUAUAUUUGAAGGGGUAAAUUGAGCUGCUCGCCAUAGCGAUCUGUCUUUGGUCA